rnacentral:rRNA from 1 species
GUGAGGAAUAUUGGUCAAUGGGCGGGAGCCUGAACCAGCCAAGUCGUGUGAAGGAAGAAGGAUCUAUGGUUCGUAAACUUCUUUUGCAGGGGAAUAAAGUGCAGGACGUGUCCUGUUUUGUAUGUACCCUGAGAAUAAGGAUCGGCUAACUCCGUGCCAGCAGCCGCGGUAAUACGGAGGAUCCGAGCGUUAUCCGGAUUUAUUGGGUUUAAAGGGUGCGUAGGUGGUUUGAUAAGUCAGCGGUGAAAGUUUGCAGCUUAACUGUAAAAAUGCCGUUGAAACUGUCGGACUUGAGUGUAAAUGAGGUAGGCGGAAUGCGUGGUGUAGCGGUGAAAUGCAUAGAUAUCACGCAGAACUCCGAUUGCGAAGGCAGCUUACUAAGCUACAACUAACACUGAAGCACGAAAGCGUGGGGAUCAAACAGGAUUAGAAACCCCAGUAGUCC